UGCUGCAUGGCUGUCGUCAGCUCGUGUCGUGAGAUGUUGGGUUAAGUCCCGCAACGAGCGCAACCCUUGUCAUUAGUUGCUACGAAAGGGCACUCUAAUGAGACUGCCGGCGACAAACCGGAGGAAGGUGGGGAUGACGUCAAGUCCUCAUGGCCCUUAUGGGUAGGGCUUCACACGUCAUACAAUGGUACAUACAGAGCGCCGCCAACCCGCGAGGGGGAGCUAAUCGCAGAAAGUGUAUCGUAGUCCGGAUUGUAGUCUGCAACUCGACUGCAUGAAGUUGGAAUCGCUAGUAAUCGCGGAUCAGCAUGUCGCGGUGAAUACGUUCCCGGUCUUGUACCACACGCAUC
rnacentral:rRNA from 1 species